GGAGCCAACUCAAAAACCGGUACCCAGUUCGGAUUGUAGGCUGCAACUCGCCUACAUGAAGUCGGAGUUGCUAGUAAUCGCGGAUCAGAAUGCCGCGGUGAAUGCGUUCCCGGGUCUUGUACACACCGCCCGUCACACCAUGGAAGUUGGGGGCGCCCGAAGUUGGUCGGGAAAUAGAUUACCUAAGGCGAAACCAAUGACUGGGGUGAAGUCGUAACAAGGUAUC
rnacentral:rRNA from 1 species